rnacentral:rRNA from 1 species
AUUGAACGCUGGCGGCAGGCUUAACACAUGCAAGUCGAGCGGGGUGAUGGUGCUUGCACUAUCACUUAGCGGCGGACGGGUGAGUAAUGCUUAGGAAUCUGCCUAUUAGUGGGGGACAACAUCUCGAAAGGGAUGCUAAUACCGCAUACGUCCUACGGGAGAAAGCAGGGGAUCACUUGUGACCUUGCGCUACUAGAUGAGCCUAAGUCGGAUUAGCUAGUUGGUGGGGUAAAGGCCUACCAAGGCGAGGACCUGUAGCGGGUCUGAGAGGAUGAUCCGCCACACUGGGACUGAGACCCGGCCCAGACUCCUACGGGAGGCAGCAGUGGGGAAUAUUGGACAAUGGGGGGAACCCUGAUCCAGCCAUGCCGCGUGUGUGAAGAAGGCCUUAUGGUUGUAAAGCACUUUAAGCGAGGAGGAGGCUCUUUUGGUUAAUACCCAAGGUGAGUGGACGUUACUCGCAGAAUAAGCACCGGCUAACUCUGUGCCAGCAGCCGCCGUAA